rnacentral:rRNA from 1 species
ACGCUAGCUACAGGCUUAACACAUGCAAGUCGAGGGGAAACGGCAUUGAGUGCUUGCACUCUUUGGACGUCGACCGGCGCACGGGUGAGUAACGCGUAUCCAACCUUCCCAUUACUGUGGGAUAACCUGCCGAAAGGCAGACUAAUACCGCAUAGUCUUCGAUGACGGCAUCAGAUUUGAAGUAAAGAUUUAUCGGUAAUGGAUGGGGAUGCGUCUGAUUAGCUUGUUGGCGGGGUAACGGCCCACCAAGGCGACGAUCAGUAGGGGUUCUGAGAGGAAGGUCCCCCACAUUGGAACUGAGACACGGUCCAAACUCCUACGGGAGGCAGCAGUGAGGAAUAUUGGUCAAUGGACGGAAGUCUGAACCAGCCAAGUAGCGUGCAGGAUGACGGCCCUAUGGGUUGUAAACUGCUUUUGUAUGGGGAUAAAGUUAGGGACGUGUCCCUAUUUGCAGGUACCAUACGAAUAAGGACCGGCUAAUUCCGUGCCAGCAGCCGCGGUAAUACGGAAGGUCCAGGCGUUAUCCGGAUUUAUUGGGUUUAAAGGGAGCGUAGGCUGGAGAUUAAGUGUGUUGUGAAAUGUAGACGCUCAACGUCUGAAUUGCAGCGCAUACUGGUUUCCUUGAGUACGCACAACGUUGGCGGAAUUCGUCGUGUAGCGGUGAAAUGCUUAGAUAUGACGAAGAACUCCGAUUGCGAAGGCAGCUGACGGGAGCGCAACUGACGCUUAAGCUCGAAGGUGCGGGUAUCAAACAGGAUUAGAUACCCUGGUAGUCCGCACAGUAAACGAUGGAUGCCCGCUGUUGGUACCUGGUAUCAGCGGCUAAGCGAAAGCAUUAAGCAUCCCACCUGGGGAGUACGCCGGCAACGGUGAAACUCAAAGGAAUUGACGGGGGCCCGCACAAGCGGAG